rnacentral:rRNA from 1 species
GCUCAGGACGAACGCAGGCGGCGUGCUUAACACAUGCAAGUCGAACGCGAAUUGGGGGCAACCCCAUAGUAGAGUGGCGCACGGGUGAGUAACACGUGGGUAAUCAACCCUCGGGUGGGGGAUAACGGCUCGAAAGGGCCGCUAAUCCCGCAUGAGACCACGGAGGCUUCGGCUUCUGGGGCCAAAGGAGUAAUCCGCCUGAGGACGAGCCCGCGCCCCAUCAGCUAGUUGGUGAGGUAAUGGCCCACCAAGGCUGUGACGGGUAGCUGGUCUGAGAGGACGACCAGCCACACUGGGACUGGAACACGGCCCAGACUCCUACGGGAGGCAGCAGUGAGGAAUAUUGGACAAUGGGCGAAAGCCUGAUCCAGCAACGCCGCGUGGGUGAUGAAGGCCUUCGGGUUGUAAAGCCCUGUCGAGGGGGACGAGAACGGACGGUACCCCUAAAGGAAGCACCGGCUAACUCCGUGCCAGCAGCCGCGGUAAUACGGAGGGUGCAAGCGUUGUCCGGAAUUACUGGGCGUAAAGCAGGUGCAGGCGGUUCGUUGUGUCGGGUGUGAAAUCCCGAGGCUUAACCUCGGAACUGCGCCCGAAACUGGCGGACUUGAGUGCGGGAGGGGAUGGUGGAAUUCCGGGUGUAGAGGUGAAAUUCGUAGAUAUCCGGAAGAAUACCGGUGGCGAAGGCGACCAUCUGGCCCGUUACUGACGCUCAGACCUGAAAGCGUGGGGAGCAAACAGAAUUAGAUACUCUGGUAGUCCACGCUGUAAACCAUGGACGCUAGGUGUUGGGGGUAACAAUUCCCUCAGUGCCGUAGCUAACGCGUUAAGCGUCCCGCCUG